rnacentral:sRNA from 1 species
GCUGGGCACGGGGGCGCAUGCCUGUAAUCCCAGCAGCUCAGGAGACUGAGGCAGAGGAAUCAUGAGUUUGAGGCCAGCCCCAGCAAUUCAGCUGGGCCCUAAGCGACUCAGCAAGACCCUGUCUCUA